rnacentral:lncRNA from 1 species
AGAGGGAACGCAGCUGAAAGCGUGAACUGUGGUUGCACAAUUCCCCUCUGCCUUCCUGUGGGGUGUCAUCAUAGCCUGGUCAAUGAGAAGUUGGGUAACUUCCCAGAGGGUCACGGAGGGAGUGGGUGGCCAAGGCAGGAAGAACAGAAGCCAACCCCGCCCACAGUGGGAACCCAGGCGUUAGGAGAUGCUUUUGACAAGUUAUAAUAAGGGAGAGAUGGUAGUAAAGGAAGUGAAGAAGCGACGUGAAAUUGAAGGAAAAGAAAAUGACCUGCCUUCUUACCGCGGUUGGAAUACACACCCAAACGAGAGGUAGCAGAGAAGCAAGCAGUGCAUUCUGUUAAAAAUUAUUGUGUCCUCAUUUGAGAGAGGAGGGAUCCUCAAAUAAUACAACUAUGUGCAAAGCAGGAAGUGAAAUCCUUCUCAGUCCUCUCCCCAGUUGUAAUCCAAGCCUUCCACAUCUUUCCUGUAUGUGCAUAACCAUGUUAUUUUGCUUUCUUAUGAAAAUGAGAUUAUGCAUACUGUUCGAUAAUCUGUUUCAGAUUAAAUAUAUAUAUAUGGUGAAA